GAUAUGUCAUGUCUCGUGCGCCAGGCUCUAGAGAAAUUGAUUACUAGACUCUGGAAUGCUGGGAUGUUAUUACCUAUGUAAAUCAGAUGCAGAAGCGCAAAAUUCAUUUUCUAUGAGAGACGAUUCCAAGAUGGCGACCACUGUUCAGAACGGAGUUAUAUCAGACCUAUUAAUGGUAAACGGUGGACCGAAUAUGCUCCAAAUGAACCACAUCCCAAUGAAAGAAAAUGAUGCCAUCAAGUUAUUCGUUGGUCAAAUUCCUCGGAACCUCGAAGAAAAAGACCUGAGACCCGUAUUCGAAGAAUUUGGACAAAUAUAUGAGUUGACAGUUCUUAAAGAUCGAUUCACAGGAAUGCAUAAAGGUUGUGCUUUUCUAACCUACUGUUCUAGAGAAAGUGCUAUUAAAGCUCAACAGUCGUUACAUGAACAGAAAACAUUACCAGGGAUGAACCGUCCAAUACAAGUUAAACCAGCUGAUAGUGAAAGUAGAUCUGAGGAUAGAAAGUUGUUUAUCGGUAUGCUUAAUAAACAACAGUCAGAAGAUGAUGUGAGACAAUUAUUAUCUCCCUUUGGAGGUAUAGAGGAGUGUACAAUAUUACGAGAUCAAAACGGAAACAGUAAAGGUUGUGCAUUUGUUAAGUUCUCAUCACAUUUGGAAGCUCUUUCAGCUGUCAAUGCUUUACAUGGAAGUCAGACAAUGGCACAGGGAGCGUCAUCAAGCCUUGUAGUAAAAUUUGCUGAUACAGAAAAAGAACGACAGCUACGCAGAAUGCAUCAAAUGGCUGGACCUCUUGGACUUCUUAACCCGUACACACUCCAUCAAAUUGGUACAUAUGGACCUUAUGCUCAAGUCCCUUCCACACAAUUGAUGCAGCAACAAGCUGCUUUAAUGGCUGCUGCACAAGGAACAUAUUUAGCUAGCCCGGUGAAUGUACUAGCCACCCAGAUGCAGCAGAUAGGAGGUAUUCCUGGUCCAAAUGGUAUUGCCACUGCCGCCAUUACCCCAACAACCGCUACAUUAGCCAAUGGAACAGUCACUCCAACUAUUAACGGUGCUCCCCCAAAUGUCCUUUCCCCAACAGCUCUGGCAAGCUUUUCAAUGUCACAAGCCAAUGGUCAUCAGACCCCAGACCUGUAUGCUAAUGGUGUUGCACACUACCCAGGUAUGAUCAAAGCAGCUACAGCUCAGGCUAUUACUAAUGGUGAUCCAUUACAACAGUAUGCUGCUAUACAACCAUACGCUGGUAUUGCUGCAGCCUAUCCAGCUGUCUAUGGACAAUAUCAACAAGCCAUUACACAACAAGCAGUGACACAAGCUGCUCUACUACCAACUGCUCAGAAAGAGGGUAAGGCGCUUUCAAUACCAGGAUUAAGCAGCAAGGCCAUAAAGCUUUUAAAAGAAAAUGAUUUAAUACGCAGAUUAUUUAAGGGACCAGAGGGAUGUAAUUUAUUUAUUUACCAUCUUCCCCAGGAAUUUGGGGAUGCUGAACUUGCUCAGAUGUUCAUGCCUUUUGGUUCAGUUAUUAGCGCCAAAGUUUAUGUUGAUAGGGCUACAAACCAAAGCAAAUGUUUCGGUUUUGUGAGUUUUGACAAUCCAGCCAGCGCCCAUUCAGCCAUCCAGGCAAUGAAUGGUUUCCAAAUUGGCAUGAAGCGACUUAAAGUUCAACUUAAAAGACCAAAGGAUUUUAAUCGACCUUAUUAAAAUAGAUGACCUCUACAAGACCUCUCUAAAUCAUCACAGAGAGAAACCCGUUGCUAAUAGCAACUCAAGAUAGGCAGCUAACUUUGCAGUCCCGAAAAAGGACAGCCAAUGCCAAAAAUUGGAGACUUAGAUAUACAUGGUUUUAUAUUGUUAACUGGGAUCGAAGAGAAAACGGUGAAGUUUUGCUGCCAUGUACAGAGAGAAAUAUAACCCACAAAUGAUAAUGAAAUGAACCCACCGUUAAUGGUCACAUUCAACGGAUAUAUAAUCACAUGUAUAUAGCUUUGAACAUUGAAUUUUGAAUAAAUUAUUAAUGUAUAUUUAUUUAAUUAAAUGUAGCGACUGCAGUACAAUAUUUAUUUGUAUAGUUCUAUUAGAAAUAUACAUGAUAUGACAUAGUAUUGUUAUUAACUCCAAGAGUUUUAUUUCAAUAAUUUAACUAAGAGUGACAACAUGUUUGUACAAAAUAGCCAAAAAUAGAAAAAGAAGUAAAGAGAAGAUUUAUUUUACAAUUUUUUUUGAACAUUCCAGAAAUGAAACUUGUAUAGCUUUUCUUUAAGCACCCCUUUUUUAGCACACUCCUUUUCAUUAUUAACUAAUGCCUGUGUUAAAUAUGGGUUAAUGUAAUAUUUUAAUUGUUCUAUAUUUUAUAAGCUUUGGUUUAUACACCUAACCAUAGAUCAUAAAGAGAAUACCAUGACAACUAUAUGUAAAAUAACGUGUAUAUUUUCUAUUAAAUUAAUUUAUUCUCUUCACAGAAACUAUUAGUACAGUUAAAUUGGUCACUACAUAAUUUGAUAUUUAGCCAAAAUCUUGUGGUUUUCUUUUGUUUUUUUUUCCUCCUAACAGCAGAUAAUCAAAUUUGUUAAAAUAUUUAUUUAAAAAAAAUCAUAAAUCAUUCCCGAGCCAUUUCAUUUUAAACAUACAUCAAUAUAGUGUUAUCACUUCAGAAAUUUCAUGGUUUUUUCAUGGCUUAAAAAAUCAUGGCUCUAUUAUUUUUAUGUGUGAGCAUAUUAAAUCUCAUCUGUUACUCUAUUUAAUUUUUGCCCUUCGGAUGUGUUUAUUUGAAAAUCAUCUACACUGGAGUUGUGUAGCUAACACACAGAGAAUUCAUCAGGAAUGCAAAAAUUAAACAACUUCAAAAUGAACCACAUCUGUUAAGUUUUAUAGAACUAAACUAUUUGUACUAUAUUUGUCAGCCAUUUUGGUUGUUGCAUUUUUCAUAUCGCUUCUUAUUGUUCCUUAACAAAAUAUUUCCCUUUUUUGAUCAAAUUCUGAUCAUUUGUUGACUUAAAACAAAGAUUUAUAUCAAAAUGAUGUAAUAUAUUUUGAAUGAAUUGAAUGACUUGUAAAUUGUUAAUUAGUCAAUUAUUAUUAUUAUUAUUUUUUUGCUUUAUCUAAAGAUUUAAAACAGUGCUGAGCUGAACAAGGGUGAAACAAUGGUAGUUUGAUGGUGAUGUAAUUUGAUUAGUAACGAUAAUUUGAACGAAGUUGUGUUAUGUACUUAAAUCAAAAACUGUUCGAUUAAACCUAGAGUUGGUAUCAAUCAGCAUUGUUUUAAAUAUUAUUAUGUUUAUACUUUUUAGAAAUAUUAUGUAGGUUGUACAAAGAAUUCAGUUUUAGGAUGAGAACAGUAACAUUGUAUCCUUUUCUAAAACUGAAUUGUUUAAAUGAAUAUACAUAUAUAUGGAUUGUAAGAUAUGAUGUUUAAUUUAUUAUUACAUUAGAUAUAGGUAUUUAUUUUAGAAAAAAAGACAUUGAUAUUUCUUUUUACGUGACAUUGUUGGAUAAGCCAAACUUCUUUCAAGAAUAGAGAUGUCUAUACGUUUCAUUGAUGAUAACAAGUGAACAGUUGAUUGCGUUUUUAAUCUUAUUAAUUGAAACCUGUUUUAGAGGAUAUUAAAGCUGUUUUUGUUUUAGUAAACCUAUUAAGCUUUUAACAUAAGCUACCUCUUAGUUAAAGUUUGUUUGAUUUUAAAGAUCACUGGUUUUUAAUUAUUGCGUUAUAUAUAUUAUAUAUCAUAUUUGAAAUAUAGUAUCAAUGUUAAACCUGUAAAUUAUUCAAGGUGUUAUGUCCCCAUAUUGUAAUCUCAAUCUCAGCGUAACCUUCAAACUAAUUGACAGUUGAAAUCUAAAGUGAAAUCCAGCUAUGUAAAAGUGCUAUAAAGGAAAUCCUUCAAAAUUAAUCGGUGCAAAAGAUUUGAAAUAUGUGGCCACUUUCUUUUAUUAUAUAUUGUUGGAAAUUGAGUGGAUUUGUUUUCUUUCAUUGUAUUUUAGAGAACAAACCAAAUAUAAGUUGUUAGACAAUGGACUUUGUUUUUAUCCACAUAAGGACACUAUAUUGUUUUGAAAGGACCUUUUAUGAUCUUUUCUAGUCAUGUUAUUACUUGUGUUUUAUUGUUUUAGCUAUUUAUUGAGGACACAUUUGUGCAAUAUCAACUUGUGUAUUUAUCAUAUCAUUGGGAGGAUUGAAAUCUCAAUCUAGCUGAACAGGGCAGAUGACAGAAAGCUGGCAGACAGCAAACUUCUGAUCUCUACUUGUUCUGGCUAGUACUAAAUGAUCCUUGGUCUCAGAGGUCACAAUUUUGAGUACAAUUUUUAUUUUAUGAUUGUAUAAUGUGCUCAACAUUGGGAGGAUGUUAGUAUUAAGAAUUUAUUAUUUAUUAUUUCAUUUUUUGACAUUUUGAGUCACUAUAAAAUAUAUUAUAUUUUAGCUCAUAGUUUUUAGAUUUUAAGUGCACUGUAGUAUAUUCUAGCACCUAAUUCUAGCCUUUUGCACAUAUAGUAGCUGUAGAUUAGAUCUUUUUCAAAUUAUAUUAUUGCAAGGUGUAUACCAUAAAUGCUCAAUAUAUACUGUCAUUUUUGCAUAAAUGAACAAGUUUCAUGUAUAAUAUUAAUUUUGUAUGGGGGGUUAGUUCAUCUUAGAGAUCGUUCCUUCAGCACAGUUUAUCCAAUAUUUUAUUUAUAAGUUAGGACAGCAACAAAACAAAGAUAUUAAUAGGGGACUAAAAAGUCAGACAAAGGAAUUUUAGCUUCAUGUGUAUUUUUGAAUCCGAAAUGAUGUGAAUCUAAUUUUCCUUUCUCAAGACCGAAUGCUAGAAUUUUAUUACACAAAAGUGCCAGAAGGAACUUGAGCUCAUGGAUGAUAACCUCGACUCAGCGAUGUUUGAUGCGUGGAAACAAAACAAAGAAAUGUGUGAAUUUGUAUAUAUUGGUGAUUUUAUCUAUCUUUGAAAUGAAUAAGAGUUAUGUGAGAGAGAAAAUUAUAUGUCCAAUUUUUGAAACAGAACAAGAUCUAUUUUUAUAAGAGCCUAUUUUUUCAAACAGAGACUCCCUGACUUGGUGUACAUUUACUUUCCAAGCUGUCAAUGUUCAUUAUUAUACACGUACAUUGUAAUUAUAUAUCUUCACAUUAAUGUUGUGGUGAUGUUAACUGUUAUGUAAUUUGUAAUCACCCAAAUGGUUGUCAUUUUGUGAGGUGUUAGUAAACAAAUUUUUGACUGGACUUUCUUGCGGAACCAUGCAGUGAUAUAUUAUUAUGAAAAAAAUUAACAAAGAAUAUUUAAUAAGAAAGAUUUUAUUAUAAAUACUAUUUAUUGUUCCUCAUAAGAAAGGAGAUUUUUUUACAUCAUAUAUUUAUUUUUAUACACAUAAAUAUUGUAUUGGAAUCAUACUUUUAUGUUAUUAUUUUAUAUUUUAUUAUAAGUAGGGUAAUCUGUAUGUUCAGUGUUGGUCAAAUAGUCCUUUUCUGUGGUAUUUUUGAGAAAAUAGUACGGUAGCAUCAGUGUCGUGAAAUUAUCUAUUAUUAAACUAGUUUUUUAUCUAUCUAUAUAUAUUAUGUGGUAUCGCAAGAAAGUCUACAGGAUUAUUGAAUAUUGUGGUCACAUGACUGAAAUGAGUGGUCUGAGAGCUAGUUUCCACGGCAUUGAAUAUCGUUUGAGAUAUGAGCAUAAGUAAAAUAUUUUACCUCUAUUAUUAUAUAAAUAUAGAUUUAGGAACCAGCAUAACAUAUAUAUAUUUACCCAUUUAUGCUGGUCAUAGGGGAAGCUUGUACAAAUUUAUAAAUGAUAUCUGCAGAUCUUUACAAAUUAUCGAUUAUUUACUCUUUCGAAAAUAAAUGCAUUACGCAAAAUUA